rnacentral:rRNA from 1 species
UACGAAGGGGGCUAGCGUUGUUCGGAGUUACUGGGCGUAAAGAGUGCGUAGGCGGUUUUCUAAGUUUGGUGUGAAAUCUCCCGGCUUAACUGGGAGGGUGCGCCGAAAACUGGAAGGCUUGAGUAUGGGAGAGGUAAGCGGAAUUCCUGGUGUAGCGGUGAAAUGCGUAGAGAUGUGGAGGAAUACCGAUGGCGAAGGCAGCCCCCUGGGAUAACACUGACGCUCAUGCACGAAAGCGUGGGGAGCAAACAGG